CCCUUAGAUGUUCUGGGCCGCACACGCGCUACACUGACGAAUUCAACGAGUUUAUAACCUUUGCUGGGAGGCAUGGGUAAUCUUGUGAACGUUCGUCGUGAUGGGGAUAGAUUAUUGCAAUUGUUAAUCUUCAACGAGGAAUUCCUAGUAAACGCAAGUCAUCAGCUUGCAUUGAUUACGUCCCUGCCCUUUGUACACACCGCCCGUCGCACCUACCGAUUGAAUGGUCCGGUGAAUUCUUCGGACUGCGGCUUUGACUCGAUUUCGGUCGAGGCGUUGCUGCGGGAAGUUGAUUAAACCUUACCAUUUAGAGGAAGGUGAAGUCGUAACA
rnacentral:rRNA from 1 species